GCUACGACUACGGGCCCCUUUACGGCCCUAGGGCUACACACGUGCUACAAUGGGUCGGUACAAAGGGUUGCCAAGCCGCGAGGUGGAGCUAAUCCCAUAAAACCGAUCGUAGUCCGGAUCGCAGUCUGCAACUCGACUGCGUGAAGUCGGAAUCGCUAGUAAUCGUGAAUCAGAAUGUCACGGUGAAUACGUUCCCGGGCCUU
rnacentral:rRNA from 1 species